AAUUCGAUGAUACGCGAGGAACCUUACCUGGCUUAAUGUAGAGUGCAUUUUUUAGUAGAUAGAAAUUCCCUUCGGGGCUUUCUUGCAAGGUGCUGCAUGGUUGUCGUCAGCUCGUGCCGUGAGGUGUCGGGUUAAGUCCCAUAACGAGCGCAACCCUUAUCGUUAGUUGCCAUCUGGUAAUGCAGGGGACUCUAGCGAAACUGCCACCGUAAGGUGAGAGGAAGGUGGGGAUGACGUCAAAUCAGCACGGCCCUUAUGUCCAGGGCUACACACGUGUUACAAUGGUCGGUACAGAGGGCAGCUACCUGGUGACAGGAUGCUAAUCUCGAAAAACCGGUCUCAGUUCGGAUCGAAGUCUGCAACUCGACUUCGUGAAGCUGGAUUCGCUAGUAAUCGCGCAUCAGCUAUGGCGCGGUGAAUACGUUCCCGGGCCUU
rnacentral:rRNA from 1 species